rnacentral:tRNA from 2 species
GAGAGUGUAGCUCAGUUGGUAGAGCAUUCGACUUUUAAUCGAAUGGUCCUGGGUUCGAGUCCCAGCACUCUCA